GAUGAACGCUAGCUACAGGCUUAACACAUGCAAGUCGAGGGGCAGCAUGAACUUAGCUUGCUAAGUUUGAUGGCGACCGGCGCACGGGUGAGUAACGCGUAUCCAACCUGCCCCGAGGUCAGGGACAGCCCGGCGAAAGUCGGAUUAAUACCUGAUGGUCUCUUUUGAUGGCAUCUGAGGAGGAGUAAAGAUUCAUCGCCUUGGGAUGGGGAUGCGUAGGAUUAGGCAGCAGGCGGGGUAACGGCCCACCUGGCCAUCGAUCCUUAGGGGUUCUGAGAGGAAGGUCCCCCACACUGGUACUGAGACACGGACCAGACUCC
rnacentral:rRNA from 1 species